UACGAACUGUGCAAACGUUAUUCGGAAUCACUGGGCUUAAAGGGCUCGUAGGCGGUUUGUCGCGUCGGGAGUGAAAUCCACUGGCUUAACUGGUGGCUUGCUUUCGAUACGGGCAGACUGGAGGUAUGCAGGGGAGAACGGAAUUCCUGGUGUAGCGGUGAAAUGCGCAGAUAUCAGGAGGAACACCGGUGGCGAAGGCGGUUCUCUGGGCAUGUCCUGACGCUGAGGAGCGAAAGUGUGGGGAGCGAACAGG
rnacentral:rRNA from 1 species